GACGAACGCUGGCGGCGUGCCUAAUACAUGCAAGUCGAACGAGAGCGACCGGUGCUCGCACUGGUCAAUCUAGUGGCGAACGGGUGAGUAACACGUGGGUAACCUGCCCAUCAGAGGGGGAUAACAUCCGGAAACGGAUGCUAAAACCGCAUAGGUCUUCGAACCGCAUGGUUUGAAGAGGAAAAGAGGCGCAAGCUUCUGCUGAUGGAUGGACCCGCGGUGCAUUAGCUAGUUGGUGAGGUAACGGCUCACCAAGGCCGUGAUGCAUAGCCGACCUGAGAGGGUGAUCGGCCACAUUGGGACUGAGACACGGCCCAAACUCCUACGGGAGGCAGCAGUAGGGAAUCUUCCGCAAUGGACGCAAGUCUGACGGAGCAACGCCGCGUGAGUGAAGAAGGUUUUCGGAUCGUAAAACUCUGUUGUUAGAGAAGAACAAGUGCUAGAGUAACUGUUAGCGCCUUGACGGUAUCUAACCAGAAAGCCACGGCUAACUACGUG
rnacentral:rRNA from 1 species